rnacentral:rRNA from 1 species
AGUGAACGCUGGCGGUAGGCCUAACACAUGCAAGUCGAACGGCAGCACAGUAAGAGCUUGCUCUUACGGGUGGCGAGUGGCGGACGGGUGAGGAAUACAUCGGAAUCUACUUUUUCGUGGGGGAUAACGUAGGGAAACUUACGCUAAUACCGCAUACGACCUACGGGUGAAAGCAGGGGAUCUUCGGACCUUGCGCGAUUGAAUGAGCCGAUGUCGGAUUAGCUAGUUGGCGGGGUAAAGGCCCACCAAGGCGACGAUCCGUAGCUGGUCUGAGAGGAUGAUCAGCCACGAUGGAAGAGAGAACCGGUCCAGACUCGUACGGAAGGCAAGAGUGGGGAAUAUUGGACAAGGGGCGCAAGCCUAAUCCAGCAACCCCGGGUGGGUGAAGAAGGCUUUCGGGUUGUAAAGCCUUUUUGUUGGGAAAGAAAAGAGGCGGGUUAACUCCCGGCUGUUUUGGCGGUACCAAAAGAAAAAGCACCGGUUAAUUUGGU